CUACGUGCCAGCAGCCGCGGUAAUACGUAGGUGGCGAGCGUUGUCCGGAUUUAUUGGGCGUAAAGGGAGUGUAGGCGGUCUUUUAAGUCUGAUGUGAAAGCCCACGGCUCAACCGUGGAGGGUCAUUGGAAACUGGGAGACUUGAGUGCAGAAGAGGAGAGCGGAAUUCCAUGUGUAGCGGUGAAAUGCGUAGAUAUAUGGAGGAACACCAGUGGCGAAGGCGGCUCUCUGGUCUGUAACUGACGCUGAGGCUCGAAAGCGUGGGGAGCAAACAGGAUUAGAUACCCUGGUAGUCCACGCCGUAAACGAUGAGUGCUAAGUGUUGGAGGGGUUCCACCCUUCAGUGCUGGAGUUAACGCAAUAAGUACCCCGCCUGGGGAGUACGACCGCAAGGUUGAAACUCAAAGGAAUUGACGGGGGCCCGCACAAGCGGUGGAGUAUGUGGUUUAAUUCGACGCAACGCGAAGAACCUUACCAGGUCUUGACAUUGAUGGACAGAACUAGAGAUAG
rnacentral:rRNA from 1 species